rnacentral:lncRNA from 1 species
GCCUAUACUUCACCUUUGUUCUAGAGUUUUUCAUAAGUUUUCAAAAUAAAACUCAGAGUUCCCAGCAAUGAUUCUCUCAGGUCUCUCUAUAUGUGGUAUUUGUGGAUCCUUACCAUGAUAUCACUUAGCUAAAGCUAAUAGAAUAUUUAAGUGGAGCUCAUAGGAGUGAAAAACAGCUCAUACAUAUGUUGUCUAAUCGAGCCAUGGAUCCAAAGGAACUCAACAUAUAAUUAAAUCAAGAUGUGCAUGUGUGGUGGAGUAAAUGAUAGUGAUGGUGAAAAUGCAAUAGUGUUAAAAAAUCUUAGUUCUCACUGCUCCUCAUAUUGCUAUCUCUUCUCUUCUUUUUGAUCUUUGCUUUGGGAGAACAUGGGCUAUCUUUUUCUCUCUCUUUUUUUUCAGGUGGGUAGUACAUACCCCUAAUUCUACUGUCGGACACUUGUCCAUUUUUUCCGCUCAAGUGGGCAUUUUUGUACCCCUAAUUCUACUUCGGACACUUGUCCAUUUUUACCUCUCGUCUCACUCUUUUUCUUUCUUUUUCCGAGGUUCCGGGCACUUGCCCCUUUUUAUUUCGUCGUAUAUUUUUGCAUAACCCAUGCCUCUUCUGCAUUGAAUCUUUUUAGAGAGAGAGAAUAACAAUAUUCGGGACAGUGAGUGAUAACAUUUUUAGCAAUUUUAAUGAUUGGUGAUGAAUGCUGUGGUAGAUGUGUGCAAGUGAAUAUCUUAAUUUAACCACAUGAAAAGCUCCUAAGGGUCUACACAGCUCGAUCAAACUCAAUGUAAAUAUAGUAAAAGAUGGUAUAGCAAGUAUGGCUGUGGUAGGUAGUUUUGUUAUGCUAGGAACUCAUCAUGUGAUUUGUAAGUUUUCAAAAUAAAUCUCUAGAACUUAGUGUAGUAGGAACAAGAUAAAUAGUAGCUCAACUUUAUAUCAUGUCUUUCUCUUACCUAGACUUUAGUUUUAUGCUUCCCAAAGAUAGUAAUUUUAGUUUUAGUAAUUCCUGGAAGAAUUCUAAUAUAAAAGCUAGGUACUUGUAAGUAAGCAAACAG